rnacentral:rRNA from 1 species
CCUACGGGGGGCUGCAGUAAGGAAUAUUGGUCAAUGGAGGCAACUCUGAACCAGCCAUGCCGCGUGGAGGAUGAAGGUCCUCUGGAUUGUAAACUUCUUUUAUAUGGGACGAAAAAAGGCUUUUCUAAGUCGUCUGACGGUACCAUAUGAAUAAGCACCGGCUAACUCCGUGCCAGCAGCCGCGGUAAUACGGAGGGUGCAGGAUUCAUCCGGAUUCAAGGGUGUGAAGGGGGGCUUAGAAGUCUGGGUUGAAAUCCCCGAGCUUAACUUGGGAACUGCCAUUGAUACUAUCAGUCUUGAAUACCGUGGAGGUCGGCGGAAUAUGUCAUGUAGCGGUGAAAUGCUUAGAUAUGACAUAGAACACCAAUUGCGAAGGCAGCUGGCUACGCGGAUAUUGACACUGAGGCACGAAAGCGUGGGGAUCAAACAGGAUUAGAUACCCUAGUAGUC